UACUAUAUGGGAGAGGAUGAAGGAUUUCACAGGACAUGUUAGGGUUCCAUUAUAAAAAGGAGGCUUUAUCACUUUUACCAUCAACUACUGUCUUUGAUUGUGUCCCCAAGGGCUUUGUUUUAGAGCUGGGGUGCAAAGAAGCACUUGCUGGCUUGGAGAUGGAGAGAGCUGGAAAAGAGGAAAAAAUGAAGACCACUGGGAACAGGUAUGGCAUCAGAUUGACGGGUCCAGAAAUUCAUUUGGUUACUGGAGCUUUGCAGGGGGAAAUGAGGUCUGAGAAAACCAGCUGAUAAAAAAGCACAGCAAAGGUCGAACAAAUCAGAGAAAUGAUCAGCCAAAUGAGCUGCAAAAUUAUUUAUUUGCUUGUAAAAAAGAAAUUAGCCAUACUUUGUCAUAUAUAACCAAUACCUGUCUUACUUGAUGGAACACACAAUUGCCGAACAAGAGAGUACAUAUACCCACUCCUUUGUCCACUAAUCCAGUAUGGUACAGAUGUGAGAUGCAGCUUUAUAGAGCCCAGUGAAGAGAGUUGCUUCUCCUCUCCUCAGUGUGGUGCUUACUCUAUGUUUCAGUUCAGCAUACUUUUGACAUCUUGAUUUGGUGCUGACAACCAGUGGCAUUUUUCUCACAUAAUUACGAGUGACUAUAAUCCUCCAAAAGAGAGCAAAAUACACUGUAAAUGACCAAAGACAUAC
rnacentral:lncRNA from 1 species